CGCUAGCUACAGGCUUAACACAUGCAAGUCGAGGGGCAGCAUGGUCUUAGCUUGCUAAGGCCGAUGGCGACCGGCGCACGGGUGAGUAACACGUAUCCAACCUGCCGUCUACUCUUGGACAGCCUUCUGAAAGGAAGAUUAAUACAAGAUGGCAUCAUGAGUCCGCAUGUUCACAUGAUUAAAGGUAUUCCGGUAGACGAUGGGGAUGCGUUCCAUUAGAUAGUAGGCGGGGUAACGGCCCACCUAGUCUUCGAUGGAUAGGGGUUCUGAGAGGAAGGUCCCCCACAUUGGAACUGAGACACGGUCCAAACUCCUACGGGAGGCAGCAGUGAGGAAUAUUGGUCAAUGGGCGAGAGCCUGAACCAGCCAAGUAGCGUGAAGGAUGACUGCCCUAUGGGUUGUAAACUUCUUUUAUAAAGGAAUAAAGUCGGGUAUGGAUACCCGUUUGCAUGUACUUUAUGAAUAAGGAUCGGCUAACUCCGUGCCAGCAGCCGCGGUAAUACGGAGGAUCCGAGCGUUAUCCGGAUUUAUUGGGUUUAAAGGGAGCGUAGAUGGAUGUUUAAGUCAGUUGUGAAAGUUUGCGGCUCAACCGUAAAAUUGCAGUUGAUACUGGAUAUCUUGAGUGCAGUUGAGGCAGGCGGAAUUCGUGGUGUAGCGGUGAAAUGCUUAGAUAUCACGAAGAACUCCGAUUGCGAAGGCAGCCUGCUAAGCUGCAACUGACAUUGAGGCUCGAAAGUGUGGGUAUCAAACAGGAUUAGAUACCCUGGUAGUCCACACGGUAAACGAUGAAUACUCGCUGUUUGCGAUAUACUGCAAGCGGCCAAGCGAAAGCGUUAAGUAUUCCACCUGGGGAGUACGCCGGCAACGGUGAAACUCAAAGGAAUUGACGGGGGCCCGCACAAGCGGAGGAACAUGUGGUUUAAUUCGAUGAUACGCGAGGAACCUUACCCGGGCUUAAAUUGCAGAUGAAUUACGGUGAAAGCCGUAAGCCGCAAGGCAUCUGUGAAGGUGCUGCAUGGUUGUCGUCAGCUCGUGCCGUGAGGUGUCGGCUUAAGUGCCAUAACGAGCGCAACCCUUGUUGUCAGUUACUAACAGGUUCCGCUGAGGACUCUGACAAGACUGCCAUCGUAAGAUGUGAGGAAGGUGGGGAUGACGUCAAAUCAGCACGGCCCUUACGUCCGGGGCUACACACGUGUUACAAUGGGGGGUACAGAGGGCCGCUACCACGCGAGUGGAUGCCAAUCCCCAAAACCUCUCUCAGUUCGGACUGGAGUCUGCAACCCGACUCCACGAAGCUGGAUUCGCUAGUAAUCGCGCAUCAGCCACGGCGCGGUGAAUACGUUCCCGGGCCUUGUACACACCGCCCGUCAAGCCAUGGGAGCCGGGGGUACCUGAAGUGCGUAACCGCGAGGAGCGCCCUAGGGUAAAACUGGUGACUGGG
rnacentral:rRNA from 1 species